UACGAAGGGGGCUAGCGUUGCUCGGAAUCACUGGGCGUAAAGCGCACGUAGGCGGCUUUCUAAGUCAGGGGUGAAAUCCUGGAGCUCAACUCCAGAACUGCCUUUGAUACUGGAGAGCUUGAGUCCGGGAGAGGUGAGUGGAACUCCGAGUGUAGAGGUGAAAUUCGUAGAUAUUCGCAAGAACACCAGUGGCGAAGGCGGACUCACUGGCCCGGUAC
rnacentral:rRNA from 1 species